CUGCCCGGCCCGCGCAUGCGCUCGGAGCGCCGCCGAACAUCCCGGUCCCCCCCGGCCCCGCCGUGCCCUCAGGGCUGGGGGGCUUCUCCCCUCCUCCCUGCGCCCCCAUGGCCCCUGGGACACCCAUUUCCUAUGGGCUCUGUGUCUGUGGUGGGGCUCCCUUCUCCCUUGGAGCUUCCUUAUCCCCUGUGCCCCUCACUGAGGUCUUUCCCGCGGGGCUCCUUUUUCACCUCAGGCUUCCUGUGGGACGCCCCUCACCCCCAUUCUAAUCCAUUAUUUUAGUGCCGGAGGUGCAGCAGGUCACAUCCCACCCUGUCCGAGGUUCUUUCUAGGCAAACGGACACGUGGUGACACAAAUGGACACAGGGACACAAAUGGACACGUUCCCCUCCGUGAUCCCAAAGCAGGCGCAGCCCCGCUGCCGGUGGAUCCUCCCUUUCCCGGGCAGUCACCAUCCGGACCGUGGCUUUUCCAACCUCAGCAAAUCUGCAAUUCUAUAAUUCUGCUGCUGUGGUACAACCAGUGAGCAGCUAUCACAUGCAGGACCAUCCUCUGUGAGUGCCCAGACCCUCUUCUGCUUGAGUGCUUUGCUCCAGGCUCAGUGAUGUGAUUCAUCUUGGCUGCUGUGGAGAUGGAAUGGGAAGGUUCCAGCACUGACAGAGCUGCUCAUGAAAUCCUGUGCUGCUGGCAUUGUUGGGCCGUGUAUCCUUUAGAAUUGCAACACCCUAAACCCGACAAACAGGCACUUCAUCCACACGAGCUCCUUCUCCUUUCUCCUUCUUUAUGGAAAAUUGGCAGGCUCCCAACCUGUUUCCAUAGGAACGGGCUGGGAGAGCAGGAGACCUCCAGCUGCUGAAGUCCCAGCCUUAACACGGCCAUGGCAUCUGCUUGGCCGUGACAGGAGCUCCUGCAGCCUCUGGAGACUGCAGGCAUGGGGAAAACACUCAUUUUGUGUUGGAGAUAAGGAGCUGAUAAGCAGCUUACCCGAGGCUGCCUGGCUGAUUUCGGUGCAGGCUGGAAAAAGCUCCAUUAUUUGCUCUUGGAUGCUGAGUCUCAUCCUGCUCCCCUGCUUCUUUGGGGGCUGCCCCAAACCUCCCACGUUCCCCAGGCUGAGCAGAGGCUUCCCCGCAGGAUGGCAGCAUUUCACUAAAGCUCCAGCAUCAGCUGGAGAUGCCUCAGGUGUCUGCUAGGAUUUGCUUCCCUCUUAUGAAAUGAAAAAGAGAGGAAAUAAAUUGUGGCACAGCUCCCCCGCCUGACUUUCUGCUCGGGUGCCAGUUACCAGCUCAGGCUAUUGUUCUGCAGAGUUUCAUUUUAAGCUCCUUUAUUAGACACUCUAAAAUAUCACUUCCUUGCUCUUGCAAACAGCCUGUUCCUGCAGGAGAGAUUUGUGCUUCUUAGUCAGCUGCUGGUGCUUUCCAAGGGAAGGCAGCCCUGGGAGUCGUGGUUUAU